rnacentral:rRNA from 1 species
AGUGAACGCUGGCGGUAGGCCUAACACAUGCGAGUCGAACGGCAGCACAGUAAGAGCUUGCUCUUACGGGUGGCGAGUGGCGGACGGGUGAGGAAUACAUCGGAAUCUACUUUUUCGUGGGGGAUAACGUAGGGAAACCUACGCUAAUACCGCAUACGACCUACGGGUGAAAGCAGGGGAUCUUCGGACCUUGCGCGAUUGGAUGAGCCGAUGUCGGAUUAGCUAGUUGGCGGGGUAAAGGCCCACCAAGGCGACGAUCCGUAGCUGGUCUGAGAGGAUGAUCAGCCACACUGGAACUGAGACACGGUCCAGACUCCUACGGGAGGCAGCAGUGGGGAAUAUUGGACAAUGGGCGCAAGCCUGAUCCAGCCAUACCGCGUGGGUGAAGAAGGCCUUCGGGUUGUAAAGCCCUUUUGUUGGGAAAGAAAAGCAGCAGGUUAAUACCCCGCUGUUCUGACGGUACCCAAAGAAUAAGCACCGGCUAACUUCGUG